rnacentral:misc_RNA from 1 species
GAUGAAGAACGUAGCGAAAUGCGAUAAGUAAUGUGAAUUGCAGAAUUCAGUGAAUCAUCGAAUCUUUGAACGCACAUUGCGCCCGCCAGUAUUCUGGCGGGCAUGCCUGUUCGAGCGUCAUUUCAACCAUCAAGCCCCAGGCUUGUGUUGGAGCCCUGCGGCUGCCGCAGCCUCCCAAAACCAGUGGCGGGCUCGCUAUCACACCGAGUGCAGUAGAUUACUCUUCGCUCAGGGCGUGCAGCGGGUUCCGGCCGUGAAACCCCCUACUUUUAAAGGUUGACCUCGGAUCAGGUAGGAAUACCCGCUGAACUUAAGCAUAUCAAUAAGCGGAGGA